CAGCCGCCGCGGUAAUACGGAGGGUGCAAGCGUUAUCCGGAUUUAUUGGGUUUAAAGGGUCCGUAGGCGGAUCUGUAAGUCAGUGGUGAAAUCUCACAGCUUAACUGUGAAACUGCCAUUGAUACUGCAGGUCUUGAGUAAAUUUGAAGUGGCUGGAAUAAGUAGUGUAGCGGUGAAAUGCAUAGAUAUUACUUAGAACACCAAUUGCGAAGGCAGGUCACUAAGAUUUAACUGACGCUGAUGGACGAAAGCGUGGGGAGCGAACAGGAUUAGAUACCCGAGUAGUCCCUGUCUCUUAUAC
rnacentral:rRNA from 1 species